UGGGGAAUUUUGGACAAUGGGCGAAAGCCUGAUCCAGCAAUGCCGCGUGUGUGAAGAAGGCCUUCGGGUUGUAAAGCACUUUUGUCCGGAAAGAAAUCCUUGGCUCUAAUACAGUCGGGGGAUGACGGUACCGGAAGAAUAAGCACCGGCUAACUACGUGCCAGCAGCCGCGGUAAUACGUAGGGUGCAAGCGUUAAUCGGAAUUACUGGGCGUAAAGCGUGCGCAGGCGGUUUGCUAAGACCGAUGUGAAAUCCCCGGGCUCAACCUGGGAACUGCAUUGGUGACUGGCAGGCUAGAGUAUGGCAGAGGGGGGUAGAACUCCACGUGUAGCAGUGAAAUGCGUAGAGAUGUGGAGGAAUACCGAUGGCGAAGGCAGCCCCCUGGGCCAAUACUGACGCUCAUGCACGAAAGCGUGGGGAGCAAACAGGAUUAGAUACCCUGGUAGUCCACGCCCUAAACGAUGUCAACUAGUUGCUGGGGAUUCAUUUCCUUAGUAACGUAGCUAACGCGUGAAGUUGACCGCCUGGGGAGUACGGUCGCAAGAUUAAACUCAAAGGAAUUGACGGGGUCAUAGCUGUUUCC
rnacentral:rRNA from 1 species